rnacentral:misc_RNA from 1 species
UCCGAGUUGACCCCGGCAGUCUCCCAUGAGUCCCCACCAUUACGUGCUGGCAACAUGGAACGAGGGUUGCGCUCGUUGCGGGACUUAACCCAACAUCUCACGACACGAGCUGACGACAGCCAUGCACCACCUGUGAACGCCCCCGAAGGACACCACAUCUCUGUGGUUUUAGCGCACAUGUCAAACCCAGGUAAGGUUCUUCGCGUUGCAUCGAAUUAAUCCGCAUGCUCCGCCGCUUGUGCGGGCCCCGUCAAUUCCUUUGAGUUUUAAUCUUGCGACCGUACUCCCCAGGCGGGAAGCUUAAUGCGUUAGCUGCGCCACUGAUGAGUAAACCCACCAACGGCUAGCUUCCAUCGUUUACGGCGUGGACUAC